rnacentral:rRNA from 1 species
GACGAACGCUGGCGGCGUGCUUAACACAUGCAAGUCGAACGGAAAGGCCCUGCUUUUGUGGGGUUCUCGAUUGGCGAACGGGUGAGUAACACGUGAGUAACCUGCCCUUGACUUUGGGAUAACUUCAGGAAACUGGGGCUAAUACCGGAUAGGAGCUCCUGCUGCAUGGUGGGGGUUGGAAAUUUUCGGCGGUUGGGGAUGGAUUCGCGGCUUAUCAGCUUGUUGGUGGGGUAGUGGCUUACCAAGGCUGUGGCGGGUAGCCGGCCUGAGAGGGUGACCGGCCACAUUGGGACUGAGAUACGGCCCAGACUCCUACGGGAGGCAGCAGUGGGGAAUAUUGCACAAUGGGCGGAAGCCUGAUGCAGAAACGCCGCGUGCGGGAUGACGGCCUUCGGGUUGUAAACCGCUUUCGCCUGUGACGAAGCGUGAGUGACGGUAAUGGGUAAAGAAGCACCGGCUAACUACGUG